GUAACGCUUCCACAUUAGGUUGGCUCGGUCAUCAUCACUGCCACAGGUCAAGGGAAGCGAGGAGCACCCAUGAGACGGCGGGGACACCGGGGCCCCCCAACACCACGGAAACGACUCACGCAGCCCUGCACCCCACCCACCCCCAGCUCCUUCUCUACAUUUCAAAGAAGCGUCAAAGGAGUAGGUCAAAGGAGUAACGCUUCAGAAGGCUCAGACGGCUGGCUUUCCGGGGAAAUCCAAGGGCCAUCCCAGCACUGCCCUCUGCCUCCAGCUGUACCCUUGGCCUCCCUCCCUCCUCCGACCUCUUCGCUGCUUCUCAAACCAGCUUCCAGGCUAAGCGGUUCCCUGGACCCUACAUCCUCCAUCUGGACUGGCCCAGUUCUGUGUGGGGUGAAGGCUGCCAAGCGUGUACGGGAAGGUGAAGGAGGGAGAGUGACCUCACCUCAGCUCCGGUUCUUCUAGUAGAGCCCCCCCGCGGCGGGGCUGAGAGGCAGCUGCACCACUGGCCAAGAUUGGUGCAGCCCGGCGGCCGCGUCGGUUGAUUUCGAGGUGCAGCCGCUCCAUGAGGAGCUUCAGGAACUCUUGGGCAUCCUGCUGGCUGCGGCCAGAAACAGGGUGUGGGCCACCGACCCCCACCUGGUCCCCAGACACGACCCCCCGCCCGCACGUCGGUCCCCACUUCUCGGAUGAAGGACAUCCGAGGGCCCCGAACAACGCUGCCAGGGCCCCUGCUCGGCCCAGAGAGGAGCCUCCUCCCCUCCGGCUCUCCCACCUGUAUCCAGAGAAGGAGGGAACGUAUUUCUGGAAGACAGCUCGGAAUCGGGUGGGAUUCACAGCUUCACAGGAGUCAGGAUGCCACAGGGCACCGAUCACAUCCGCAAAGGCUGUCGGGGCAGGCGUGAGGAGACCAAGGUUAGUGACUAGAAGAGGCGGGCCAGGGGUGGCUCAGAGGGUGGAGAACCACCUCUAGGGAAGCAGGCAGCAGGAAAAACAGAUGGCCAGAUGCAACGGUCGUCGGGGCCACCGUGACUGGCAGGCGGACCCAGAGGUAGGGGAGAGGACCCGGAAAGGGGGGAGCAAGAGGUGUUGCCCUACCUUCAGUGAGCUCUUGCGCUCGACCCCCUCCAGGCACCUCUUGCCGGAAGUCCCUCCGCAGACAGAAGUCCCGAAGAGGCCGAGUGCUGCUCAAACACUGUAGCACUGCAUUCAGGAAGCACUGGGAGGCGCGAGAGACACGGCCAUCAUUGCUGCAGACCACUGACCUGACGCCUAGAAGGGCUUCAGUGCGCUCCUUCCCCACCUCCCCCAGGUCGGCCCCCCGCCACCCCCACCCCGCACCAUUUCUCAUUCCCGUUAGGGAGGAAGGACAGGAGGCUGGCUCUCACCGUGUUCCCCAGGUUUCGCAGGCCAACGUGACCAGAGCCCAGGAGCAGUGUGUGAUGAGCCUGGAAGGUCAGAGUGGAGUCAGCGGUUUCCCAUCUAUCCCGCCCAGCACUCCGACCUUUCAACAGCAUGCCGCCCACGGCUUCCCCACCCCUGCACUGCACCCCCAAGCUCCACCCUCUUUCCCCCACCGGGUACUGGGGGCUCCCCUACCUCGCUGGCCAUGAGCAUGUAAGCCCAUCACAGCUGAGCGCAGCACGGACUCGGCCAGGGCUGUCCCACCUGCUCCCCACUUACUCGCCUGCCCAGCUGGCCGGCGCUGCAGCUCCUGGGGCAGCUCCCCAAGCACGGGCAUGGCUGCCCAGCCGCUCCCCAUGCCCACCUUGCUUCCCCCAAGGGUUCCCCCACUCCCGCCCCCCGGGGCCCCUUCCUGAGCCCUCUCCUGAUGGAUACAACUGCAGUCAACCUAGCUCACUUAGCUUGGGAAACGGACAACCACCCUAACUCAGAUGCUCUGAGCCCGCCUCUCUUCAGCUCCAGAGAUUAAUUAGGCCCAGGCAGCAUCCUAGGAGAGAAGGGGAAGCAAGGGAGAGUAAGGGCCCGGGGACCGGGGAUGCGGAGAAGAAUUCCAAACGGUUGGGUUAAUUCUCUGGGGACUGAAAUGGCACACCGUGCUGGGGACUCACAGACAACCCCGAAAAAAAGGUCUGCAAGGCUCGAGGGUACUUAAGUAAGGGAGAGGAGAGUCCCAGCUGCUGCAGUGAGGGACUGGGAAAGGAACUCGGGGAAAAGAGGGAAAGGAAAGCCACCUGAUGGCAAGAAAGCUGGAGGCACAGAGGAGCACGGGCACGGAAGGCCACGGGUGCCGGACAAGUCCUCACCAUUUUGUCAUCGGAGGAGAAAGACUCAGAGGGCCGGGCCGAUAUGACGUGAAAGGAGCCAUGGGAAGUAGGGGGCUCCGUCCGUAUACUGAGCAAGGUUGGGGGACCGGGAAAGCCCCCGAGGCGGCGGAGAGAAGCACUGCGUCUCAAAGCCGGUGGCUCAGGCCGGAGCGCCAGGCGGCUCAGCGCAGCCCCGAGCUCCCCAGCGCCACGGUGCCCUCCCAGGGCAAUCCCCAUAGGCCGCAAGUCCCCACUGCUCACAGACUUGGAACGGGCUAGGUUGGUCCUGGAAGGGAGAGGCAGAGCCACGGUGGUCGGGGGUGGUGAGCCAGGCAGGGGAACUCCAUGAUCUGCCCGAAGGGGUCCUCUGGCACGAGGGCCUGAGGUCCGACCCCGUCCCAGCUCCAGUUUCUUGAGCCGUUCCUCAGGGGGCCCCGGCCGGGGAGGCAGAGGUCUUAACAUGGGGUUCGGCCCAGGGGCCGGGUUUCGGCGCUCCUUGCUUCGGGCCCGUGGGGCAAAUGGUAGCUUGGAUCCCACUCGGGGCUGGACAUUAACAGGUGGCUCUCGGGUCCGGCCCAGGCGGUGCUCAGAGGCCUGGGGCAUUGUGGACACCACAGGCUGGACCUGGGAGGAGAAGAGAGGGUCAGUAUUUGCAUGUGGAGGGAGGUGGGAACCUAGGUUACCACACUAGCUUCUACAUACUCCACAGGCAGGAACCCCGUCUGUCAUGUCAGUCACUGUAUCCCCAGCACCUCGCAUCGUAUUGAGCACAAAGUAAAUACUCUGUAUCCGUUGAGUAAGUGAAUGAAUGACAGCAGCCCCCCGCGUUGGCUCUUUCUGUAUUCCUCGUCCCCUUCCUGCAGAACACAGCUUGACUGAAAAGCCAAGGAUAGUCUCGAUCUCGGCGGUCUUUAUGAUCUAAACGCUCAUGACGAGGGCCCCCAUACCCGGCUAGUCAACGGGAGGUGCCCUGGGUCACUUAGAACCUCUGGACAAACGAGGGUGUGGAUGUAAGGAAAACAGCCCCAAAGACAGCGUCCCACCCUCAAACCCCUGCCUGCCCUUCGGGCUGCACUGAAGCGGACUAAUGGGUGCCUGGCGAAUCACUCCCUCCCCCACCUCUGAGCUGCAACGAGGUGUUGGGGCUCAGGGGCAGUGGCGGGGAGGGAGGUCGAACAAGACCCUCAUCUCCGCACCUCUCCCACCACCGCAGGGCUUCAGCCGGGUCCGCCCCCCUCGAGGGCAGAAAGGCCGAGGCCGCUGAUUGGCUACGGGGUCCGGCGGCGUAGUCCCUGCGGUCCACGGAUGCUGUCCCUCCAGCCCGGAUCCCCCAGGCCUGCCGGGCCCCCCGCGCCCUGCCUUUGUGGAGGGCGUCCUUUCGGGUCUGGAGCGGUCUUCCCGCGGCCCCCCCCACGCCAUAGCGCCCCGGCCCGUACCUGUCCCCCGGUGAGGCGACGGGGGAGGCCAGCCGGGGCCAAGCCCCAGCUCAGGGCCACCCCCUACUACCCCCGUGCAGCCCCCCGGAGGGCCGGGCUGCAGCUUUAGCUGCAGCUGUUGCCCAGAUCUCUCCCGCCGCAGGGGCCGCCGCCAUCUUUGUUGGUCCCGCCCGGCCACCGGCCACCGGCUUCACCGCCUCUCACGGCGCCUGCGCACCCACACUCGGAAUCCACCCACCUCCUUCCUCGGCGCUUGCGUGAACCCGCCCCCUUGGCUCCGCCGCCGCCACCAUGGAAACGCAGCCAACUUUAGGACCGCCGGUUCCCAGAUCUGCUUUGAAUGGUUUUUAAACCGUCUCUCCAAGUCCCUGCAGCCAUAAGGGUCCUGUGACCAUAGGGAUGAAGAUCCGAGGGUCGUAGUAUGGCCCCCAGGCUUGCAGACAGAUCCUUGCCGGGGAGCCCCGGUGCCAGUGUGGGAAGCUGCGAUGCUUGGGUCCGGCCCGCAGACCGGUGGAGAAGCAUCCAGCACUCCACACAGGGAUGGGAAGAUCCCUGGAGGGCGGGGAACGCUGGUCCUGCAAAACCAUUCCUCAGGCAUCUUGCAGACCAAGGCAGUAGGCACCCCGCUAAAGGACACCAGCAGAUCUCUGCAAGCAGAUCUCAGCAGGAGGGAGAGCAGUCAAGAUUUCCUUUCAUUUCCCAGCUCCUCACCACAGCACCCCCAUCUUCCCCUCCCUCCACACCAAGGUCGUUGUACAUGUGCCUUGGGUCUCAGCCGGCUCACCGUCUCUUCACAGUCACCAAAGAGAACCACGGGUCAUCAGAGGAAGCAGCUUUUAUUGAUGAGUUAUCUCCAGAGACCAAAAAGACUAUGCACCCACUUUCCAGCCUGCUUCCCAUCCUUCCUGGAUCUCACAUUGUUCCACCUGGGGAAGGGAUAUGAGUUGCCUUGGUUUUCCAAAGCCCCCGUCUUUCCCCUCCCUGUGUAGCCUUAGAAAUUCAGUGGCGAUUGUGUUGUUUAUUUUUUUCAGCAAUGCCUGAUGCAGCUACUUAGUAACAAUUAUGGGUGGAGGGGCUUGGGGGGGAAGCAGGUGGAUGAGUAGGAGUGAGGCACAGAAACAGGAACAGAACAUAGCCCGUCAAAGGUCCCUCUGUCCUGCCUCAGUGGCUUGAUCCUUCAUGGGUUGCCUUUCUCUUUAUGCUGAAUCACGCCCUUCUGAAUCAGAUCGGGGAUUUCCACUGCCAGCCAUGGACCCAGCUGCAACACAAGGGAGACCCUGUGAGAUUACUACCACCGAGUCAGUGCCUCUUGUCCCAUCAGAAGCUCCUUCCUAGACAGAUUUUUAUGAGCGUGCCCACGGAAAGCACUGUUAUUCCCUGUUUACUCUCAGUUACUUUUCUUACAUUGCUCAGUGCCUAAUUCCUCUCCCUCCCCUAAUAUGCCAGAUAUCCCAAACUUACCCCCAGAGCCAUGAGAUGAGCUAGUCCAAACUUGGGCACGUUCCUGGCCCACAAAGGCUUAAAGUGAUCAGUCAGGCAUAUUUUGCCACCCCUAUGAGAGGGACAGGAGGAAGAAGGUGUUGACAUGCAAGGUUUACCAUAAAGCAUAGCAGCCUCUUGGAAGCACAAGAUGAUAGCCAGUGAUCAGAAUUAGGCCCAAGGUUAGCUGAGUACUUUGCCCAGGUGCGGUAGAGGGGAGCCUGGAGGCCUUUUAGGCGCUAGGACAAUUGUUGUCUCCCAGAGGUCUUCCCUAAGGCCUCUUAGACCUUUUCCCAUCUCCUUUUGAGUCCUACCUGUACAUCUUUGCUGUUUUUCCAUCCAGUUCAGGGACUGCAAUUUCUGGAGCAGUAGUGGGGUAUGUGAUAGGAAUCUGGAGGAAAUAUAAGGCCUUAAUGACACAAGCAUCGGGAUAGAAAGGAACUAAUCCAAUCACACGUAUCUCUUGGUUGAACUGAAAUGUGCGACAAACCCCCCAAGCAGCAUGCCGACGCAGGGAUGCUGGAUAUGGAGAGGAAUAGCUGUCCUCUAUGCUUGCUCCAAUCCUUAGCGUUUCCCUCCCAUUUUGAAAGUUUUCUCUGGUUCCUCCAAGAAAGGUUAGCUUGUUAACAGCCACCUAAUCCCUCCCCUUCCACUAACUUCCAUAUUUCCCAUUCCAUCAGACUUACGUCAAACUCAAUGUCAAACUCAUAUUUGAGCAGGUCAUGGAUGUACCAGCAUUUUCCAAACCACCUGUAAUAAAGACCAAACCUCAGUCCAAUCUGCCCAUUCUUCUCAUGCUCAAAUAACAUCUUCUUGGCUUAGGUGAUCAGCCUGGGAGACUCAUGGGAUGGGAACUGGGGCACUCUGGACUGUGGGCGGGAGACAGCUAACAGGAGGCAGGGAAGGCCUGGCAGUGGGCUUUGGGACAUUAAAGUGCUCAAGCCAUGUAAGAUUCCCACUCCCCCAAACGACCAAGAGGGUCUGCCUACCGAGUCCCUUCCUUGUUGGACUCCAGUCGGAACCAAUCAUUGUCGGCAUUCUUGUUGUUCUCCACGUACUAAAAGCAGAGAGUGAGGUCUUUGAGGAGGGAGUUGAGGCCAAGGGCAGUCCUCUUCCCUCAACAGAAAAGUGUGUGGUUACUUUCUUAGUGUGUACCCAACUUUUUUUUUUGAGAAAAAAAAUUAUUUUAUUUUGAGAGAGCAUGCACACAAGUGGGAGAGGAGGAGAGAUAAAGGCAGAGAGAGAGAGAGAGAGAGAGAGAGAGAGAGAGGGAGAGAGAGAGAAUCCCAAGCAGGCUCCUCGCCAACAGCGCAGAGCCUGACUCGGACUGCAUCCCAUGAAUCAUGAGAUCGUGACCUGAGUCAGAAGCUUAACCAACUGAACCACCCAGGUGCCCCUGUAAGUUGAAAUGUUUACUUUCCCUUCACAGGCACCUCAAACUCAGCAUUUCCCCCUGGUCCUUCAGACCAUUUCUUCACUGCACCAAUUUCGAUGACCGCAUUUACUCAGUCAUGCAAACCAAACCCUGGGAAUCAUCCUUGACCUUCUCUCUCCUCUCCUCUCCCCAGACCUUCACGAUGUCCUGCUGAUUUUACCCUUUGAAGGUUCUUCAAAUCUACCUCUUCUCUCUAUCCUAACUAUACCUAUCCAGCUUAGAUCAUCACCUUUCUUUCGCCUGGAUUAAUGACAGCCUCCUAAAUUUGCUUCCUCCCUUCAAUCUCAUCUCUUUCAAUUCCAUUUUCCUCUCCACUGCCAUUGUGAUUGACCUAACCCCAAUCUGACCAUGCCAUCCCUCAGCUUAAAAUACUGUAAAGGUAUCCCAGUGCCUACAACAGAAAUUUCAAGAGCUCAAGCCGAUCUCUCCAGCCUUGUCUACCAUUCCCCGCCAUACACUUGACGCUGUAGCAACUCUGAACUGCUUCCAUUUCUAUGUUUCUUCAUAGGCAUCGUGCCCUUUCUAGCUUCUGUGCUUUUGCUCAUGCUGUUUCUUUGCCCGUCAACAUCUUUCUCUUAUCCUCAUGUUGAUCAGAUUAUGUUUACCCUUUCAGGCUCAGCUCAAGCACUGCCUCUUCGAGGAAGCCCUCCCGGACAAGACCCAAACUGGAUUAGGUAUCUCACCUUCUGCUCUCAAAACAUCCUAGCAAUCUUUCCCUCCCCCUCUGCCGCCCCUUAACGAAUUGUAAUGAUUUGUUUCUAUCCAUCUCAGCAGGCUCCAGCUUAUUCGGCUUUGGAUCCCGUUCCUAGGUGCUAGGUUACAAUAAAUGUGGUGGGGUUUUGUUCGUUUGUUUGUUUGUUUUUUAGCGAAUAACGUGCUGCUGCCCUUUGAAACAGAGGCCACGGCAAGGGAGACAAACUUUCUUCCUUUUCCACAGAAGGGAGAUGAGCCGGGAAGAUAGCUCAUUCCUGACUGUGAGCUUCACUCCUCAACUCUUGGCAACUAACGCCUGAAGUUUCAGCCUUAGCCUGUGCCUCCCUCAGGAAGAGUGAAGGAAGGAGCAGAGCGAUGAGCCAGGGACUUGGAGCUCCAGGAAUCCCUUUUGACUGCCUCCCCUCCAUCCAGGAGGGACACGUCACCUUCCGGGGAGGCGUAUCCCUAAGACAACUGCUGCUUUGGCCCCGCCUGGGCUCCCAAGCUGAGUUUCCUUUGCCCCCUCCCCACCAUACCCUCCUAAGCCCCCCCAGCCCCACAAUCGUCCAGUUUCUCUGAAUUUGGGACUUAAACUUUAUAACCGGAAGCGGCUUCCACACGGAGCGUAUUCCCAAGGACACCCGAUUACCCGCAACCCUUCGGCGACGCGGUCGGCCGCAGAAGCACAACUAACCCGGAUAAGAGACUGAUAUUCCUCUUUGAGUCGCUGCACCCACAACUCACGAUCUCGAGGUCCGGCGUUAGUCUUCAGCACCGGGAUCUCAGACACCACACGCCGGGUAGCCUCGUCCGCCAUCUUGGACGAGGGCGCCAGAGAAACGCGGAAGUGGUACUGCCUGCAGUUUACACUCAGGGGGCCGCCAUCUUUACUGUGGGAAGAUGGGCUGUUGGGCUGCCUUCGGACUUCUUUGAGUGCGGUCUUUAUUUUCUUGUAACGAAGACAAAUUUGUCACCUGGUCACUUGCUUGUGGGUGCAACGGAAAAAAGAGAACGUAACGGAUUGCUUCUUAAUAUGGUACCUAUUAUUUAAAAAACCCGCAGAUUGCUCAAAGGGUGACUUCCGCUCAUGCUCAGAGAAGGAGUUUCAGAAAACUCGGCCGCCUUCCCAAACUUGGGAGAGUUGUUAGAAUUUCAGGCUGGUGUAGGCACUGUGCGGGGCACUGUCUUCCUGAAACGCGCUGUUCACGUGUUUGGAUAAGCUUCCUUAGCUUCCAUGUAGUUCGGUUCAGGUAGCAGGGGCAAAGCAGUCAUCCAACAGAAGGAUAUUGAACUCGUGAUAAUGAUUGGAAACCAUGGGGAAUCAAAGUAUCCACACCCUCGGUCCUGAAGAAUUAACACAAUCGAAUUAGAGAAUUCUUAAUAAGUGCCCAAGCAGUUUAAAGAUCGCAGGAAAACUUGCCUUAGUCUAGCGUAGACAUUUUCUGAUCUGGAUUUAAAUCACCCAGGAAGGAUUCUGGUGCAUGGCACACAGUAGGUAUCUGGUCAUACUUUUGCAGAAUUUUGUAUCUUCCUGUUGGCUUUUCAACCCAAACACAAUUUUGGCUUUAAUUUACAUAUCAUGUUUACUCCCUUAAUCAGCCUGUGGCAGUAAUUUUGAAUCAGAUUCGUCAAAUUGUAUAGUCCAUUUACAAAGCUAUAUCUUAAUUAUAAGCAUGCUAUAUCUUCAUUUCUAAUGGCUGUAACUUCCAGUACAAUGUUGAAUAAAAGUUUUGAGGGCAUUCAUCCCUGUCUUGUGAUUUUAGGAGGAAAAGCAUUGGCUUUUUUCAUUAUGAUGUUAGCUGUAAGCUCUUCAUAGAUGGCCCUUUAUCAGGUUAAGAAAGUUCCCUUCUAUUGUGGUGUUGAGGGUUUUUUAUCAUGAAUGGAUGUUGGAUUUUUUCCAAAUGCUUUUUUUGUAUGUGUUCAUUAGGAUGAUAAUGUGGUUUUUGUCUUUUUUUUUAGCAUGCCAUAUAUUUCUUUCUU